rnacentral:rRNA from 1 species
UGGGGAAUCUUGCACAAUGGGCGAAAGCCUGAUGCAGCGACGCCGCGUGAGGGAUGACGGCCUUCGGGUUGUAAACCUCUUUCAGCAGGGACGAAGCGCAAGUGACGGUACCUGCAGAAGAAGCGCCGGCCAACUACGUGCCAGCAGCCGCGGUAAGACGUAGGGCGCGAGCGUUGUCCGGAUUUAUUGGGCGUAAAGAGCUCGUAGGCGGCUCGUUGCGUCAAUCGUGAAAACCCGGGGCUUAACUUCGGGCUUGCGGUUGAUACGGGCGGGCUGGAGUUCGGUAGGGGAGACUGGAAUUCCUGGUGUAGCGGUGAAAUGCGCAGAUAUCAGGAGGAACACCGGUGGCGAAGGCGGGUCUCUGGGCCGAUACUGACGCUGAGGAGCGAAAGCGUGGGGAGCGAACA